UCAGCUGAUCGGCGGGUGGGCGGGGCUUCCACGGAGGCCUCCGUGUAGGCCUCUGUGAAGCCUGAACUCGAUUAGGGCCCAAGCAAGCCAGGAAGGAGGAGGCAGCCAGAGUGGCCACCACUGUUCUCUGCAGCAGAAGACCCCUUGCUGCCUUGCCCAACCCAGCAUUUGCCAGAAAGACCAGUGUGGGUUGGUGCUCCUUGAGUCCAGUUGCGUUCUUUGCUGGCCAUGCAUUUAGCCUACUGGGACCAUGAUAAAAACUUCCAUUUGAGAUGCAGCUGAAGUGAUGACUCAUGGAAAAUAUCUGCUAACAUGAAAUAAAGCAACUGCUGUGCUAUACAUGGAGCGAAACAGUGGACAAGGCAGACAUGAAAGGCUCAUCAGAUUCCACUGGACCGGAAUGUGUUUGAUUUUAACUUGAAAGGCAUUUAAGAACAAAAGUUAAGGAAACACCAACUAAUUACACAUCCUUAAAAGCUGAUGCGACACUUCAAAGAUCUGGGAAAGAAUAAAACCAUACAGGCACUGAAGUUGCUAUAACAGAAGUGGCAUAGCAUGGUGCUGGCUUUCAGGCUUUGAAGCAACCUCUAACAAUUCUCCUCCAGUUAGUGAACAUUUGUUUUUCUGAAAUGGAUUAGACUCUCUCUGCACAACAGGCAGUGGCUUCCAUUGCAUAGGGCUGAAGUCCAAAACAGCAACACCAUGUCAGAGGCAGGAAAUACUGCAUCAUAUCAGGCAGUUUUUGGUCUGACAAUGCAAACAUUCCACAGUUUAUUACCACUGCCUUAUGCUUAUUCAUUCUCUCUGCCUGCCCACAUGUCAGCCAGGCUGCUUAAGGAUCUACAGCACCAAAAGGAGGAUUCCAGGAAUUCCAACAGGCAGAAAGACACAGAAGAAUGUGGCCGGUAGCAAUGUAUGCCUGAUGUUUUCCUCAGCUUCUUACAAAGCAAGGCACAUCUGCAAGUGGCAAGAAAGCAACCAAGAAGGGUGCAUCAUUUGCAUUUUAGGUGUGAUUUUUAAAGGUUGUGUGUGUUUUUUUUUAAACA